GUUUAUGGACAUACCACCCUGAACGUGCCUGAUUUCGAAAGCUAAGCAGGGUCAGGCCUAGUUAGUACUUGGGUGGGAGACCACCUAGGAAUACCAGGUGCUGUAGGAA
rnacentral:rRNA from 1 species